GUUCUGCAAAGUCCAUCAUUUAUGUCCAAAUACGUCCGUUUUGUUGACCCAUCCAGAACACUUUACAAUGCCAUGUGGCGUGGAUGCAAAUCCAUAGACGAAAUGGUCAAAAGUUCCAUUACCGUUUGUAGAAACACGUCAAACGAUGUUUACAAUCAAUCCUUUAGGGUAUUUUUUUACGUAAAAUUGCGAUAAUUUUACAACCGGGCAAUAGGUAUUCAUCCCAGAAGAAAAUAUUAUAUUUUCUGGGCCAGAGUAGUAAUCUGUUUAAAUUGGGUACGUUUUUCAUCUGGCCGUGAAAAUACUGCCCCUAGCCCCAACAGGUUUUAAGGUAGGGAUGUCCCAAGGAUCCCGGAUAGCAUUGACCAUUGUGCAUUCUUCUGUCUCUUUUUUACAUAGCAAGUGAUAGGUUCUGACUUCUGAACUUGAAAAUAUGAAAUAUCCUUAUUUAUGUCACUGUUUGAGAGAAGGGGAUGUAGAACGUUUACAUUCUGUCAGAAUGUGUUAUUGUUAGAUGUCAGGGAUCCUAUGGAAGGAGAAGGGCCACAGUCUGGUACAAGUCAACAGGACAGCCGUGAGGUGGGGAGGAGAAGGGCCACAGUCUGGAACAAGUCAACAGGACAGCCGUGAGGUGGGGAGGAGAAGGGCCACAGUCUGGAACAAGUCAACAGGACAGCUGUGAGGUGGGGAGGAGAAGGGCCACAGUCUGGUACAAGUCAACAGGACAGCCGUGAGGUGGGGAGGAGAAGGGCCACAGUCUGGAACAAGUCAACAGGACAGCCGUGAGGUGGGGAGGAGAAGGGCCACAGUCUGGAACAAGUCAACAGGACAGCCGUGAGGUGGGGAGGAGAAGGGCCACAGUCUGGAACAAGUCAACAGGACAGCUGUGAGGUGGGGAGGAGAAGGGCCACAGUCUGGUACAAGUCAACAGGACAGCCGUGAGGUGGGGAGGAGAAGGGCCACAGUCUGGAACAAGUCAACAGGACAGCCGUGAGGUGGGGAGGAGUGAGGAAUUUAGGCCGAGGUUAGGUCAGAUGAAGUGAGGAAGAACUGAUAUCACUAAAGUUCUGCCUAGCAACAGAGGUGUAAGGAGGAGACUCAGCAUAAAUGGUUAAAUACCAGUAAGGAGGAGACUCAGCAUAAAGGGUUAAAUACCAGUAAGGAGGAGACUCAGCAUAAAGGGUUAAAUACCAGUAAGGAUGAGACUCAGCAUAAAGGGUUAAAUACCAG
rnacentral:lncRNA from 1 species